GAUGAACGCUGGCGGCGUGCCUAAUACAUGCAAGUCGAGCGAACAGACGAGGAGCUUGCUCCUCUGACGUUAGCGGCGGACGGGUGAGUAACACGUGGAUAACCUACCUAUAAGACUGGGAUAACUUCGGGAAACCGGAGCUAAUACCGGAUAAUAUAUUGAACCGCAUGGUUCAAUAGUGAAAGACGGUUUUGCUGUCACUUCUAGAUGGAUCCGCGCCGCAUUAGCUAGUUGGUAAGGUAACGGCUUACCAAGGCGACGAUGCGUAGCCGACCUGAGAGGGUGAUCGGCCACACUGGAACUGAGACACGGUCCAGACUCCUACGUGAGGCAGCAGUAGGGAAUCUUCCGCAAUGUGCGAAAGCCUGACGGAGCAACGCCGCGUGAGUGAUGAAGGUCUUCGGAUCGUAAAACGCUGUUAUUAGGGAAGAACAAAUGUGUAAGUAACUAUGCACGUCUUGACGGUACCUAAUCAGAAAGCCACGGCUAACUACGUG
rnacentral:rRNA from 1 species